rnacentral:rRNA from 1 species
GAUGAACGCUGGCGGCGUGCCUAAUACAUGCAAGUCGAGCGGACAGUUAAGGAGCUUGUUGCUUAGACGUUAGCGACGGACGGGUGAGUAACCCGUGGAUGAGAUCAACAUCAGAAUGGGAUAGCUAAGGGAAACCGGAGCUAAUACCGGAUAACAUAUUGCACCCGAUGGUUCAAUCGCGAAAGGUUGCCUUGCUGUUACGUCAAGAUGGAUCCGCGCCGUAUUAGAUAGUUGGUAAGGUAAGGGCUAACCAAGGCAACGGUACGUAGCCUACCUAGGAGAGUGAUCGGCCACACUGCAACUGAGUCACGGUCCAGACUCCUACUGGGAGCAGCAGUAGGGAAUCUUCCGCGAUAGGCGUAAGGCAGACGGCGCAACGCCGCAUAGGCUAUGAAGGUCUUCGCGUCUUAAAACUCUAUUAUCAGGGAUGAACAACUGCGUAAGUAGCUGAACACGUAAUGACGGUACCUGAUCAAAAAGCCACGGCUAACUCCGUG